rnacentral:rRNA from 1 species
GACAUGGGUUAGUCGAUCCUAAGGCAUAGGGAAGUUCCGUUUUAAAGGCGCCCUCGUGCGCCGUUUGCCGAAAGGGAAGCCGGUUAACAUUCCGGCACCUAGAUGUGGAUUCUCCACGGCAACGUAACUGAACGCGGAGACGUCGGCGGGGGUCCUGGGAAGAGUUCUCUUUUCUUCUUGACAGCCUAUCACCCUGAAAUCGGUUUGUCCGGAGCUAGGGUUCUAUGGCUGGCAGAGCGCCGCACUUUUGCGGCGUCCGGUGCGCCCCCGACGACCCUUGAAAAUCCGCGGGAAGGAAUAGUUUUCACGCUAGGUCGUACUCAUAACCGCAGCAGGUCUCCAAGGUGAACAGCCUC